CACGUAGGGCGCAAGCGUUGUCCGGAAUUAUUGGGCGUAAAGGGCUCGUAGGCGGCCAACUAAGUCGGAUGUGAAAUCCCCAGGCUUAACCUGGGAACUGCAUCCGAUACUGGAUGGCUUGAAUUCGAGAGAGGGAUGCAGAAUUCCAGGUGUAGCGGUGAAAUGCGUAGAUAUCUGGAGGAAUACCGGUGGCGAAGACGGCAUCCUGGACCGAGAUUGACGCUGAUGAGCGAAAGCGUGGGGAGCAAACAGG
rnacentral:rRNA from 1 species